CCAGUGCCUAGCUUAUCAGAGACAUUCAAUACAUUUCAAAUAAAUGAUUGAAUUAUUCACCACAUGGACAGAAGGCAAUCUGUAAGCAGUUGUUUGGACCCCUGCAAUGGGGAUGAUGGGUUGAGAACAGAGCUACCUUUGGACCAAGCUACCACCAGGGAGACUGUCUUCUGACCAUUCCAUUCACCCCAAGACAUACCAGCCCCCUGUUCCUUCAGCUGGACUCACUCUCAGUGUGCG